rnacentral:ncRNA from 2 species
UGAAUAAAUAAGCAUACAGGUGUCAAAGCAAUUGCAACAUUGCUUUGGUGAAAAGGGAAAUAGGUGUAAGUCCUAUACGAACUCGUCACCGUAAUCAGGGAGCAGAAGCCGAUAUAUCACUGGGAAACUGGGAAGAUGGCUGCUGUGAUGAUCUUUAAGUCGGGAUACCUGCCUGGAUGUUGUACAGAAA